rnacentral:misc_RNA from 1 species
AAAAAAAGAUGUAGUUAAGGGAAAAAAAUUGAAGAAUUCUGACCAAGCAAAAGAUACUGUCUUUGAUAGAUGCAAUCCAUCAAGUAUACUCAAGUUGUUGUGGAAGUUAGACAAAAAUAUGAAACUGGUCCUGUUAUUUGCCCAUUUUCCAAUGAAAAUGAGAACAUUAUGAAAUUUUUUUCAUCUUGUACUUCAAGACCUUCAUCUACAGGCUACAAACCAUAUAUUUUUUUU